GACGAACGCUGGCGGCGUGCCUAAUACAUGCAAGUCGAGCGAACAGAGAAGGAGCUUGCUCCUCCGACGUUAGCGGCGGACGGGUGAGUAACACGUGGGCAACCUACCUUAUAGUUUGGGAUAACUCAGGGAAACCGGGGCUAAUACCGAAUAAUCUGUUUCGCCUCAUGGUGAAACACUGAAAGACGGCUUCGGCUGUCGCUAGAGGAUCGGCCCGCGGUGCAUUAGCUCGUUGGUGGGGUAACGGCUCACCACGGCGACGAAGCGUAGCCGAGCUGAGAGGGUGAUCGGGCACACUGGGAAUGAGACACGGCCCAGACUCCUACGGGAGGCAGCAGUAGGGAAUCUUCCACAAUGGGCGAAAGCCUGAUGGAGCAACGCCGCGUGAGUGAAGAAGGAUUUCGGUUCGUAAAACUCUGUUGUAAGGGAAGAACAAGUACAGUAGUAACUGGCUGUACCUUGACGGUACCUUAUUAGAAAGCCACGGCUAACUACGUGCCAGCAGCCGCGGUAAGAC
rnacentral:rRNA from 1 species